AUUUGGGGUUCUCUGCUUGAAUGUCUUCUCCUUUACCACCUCACCUUGUUGGUACCUCCCUCCCUGGAUCUCUGAGCCAGCAGCCAGGAGGACCUGACCCAGCAGUUCUUUACUGGCCCCUUUGUAGGGCCUUGCUGCCAGGGGGCAGGGAUGCUUUCCAGCCUGCAGCAACAGAACACUUGACCUUAAAAGUCUCUUCUGGUCUUUGGAUUAGAAAAGGCUUAUGUUAGCAUAGCUUAAGAGCAACCUCAGAGAUUUGAGCCCUACUAAGUGACUGACCACUGUUUAGAGUGUCUGGUAUCUGAUGUUCAUUUAUUCCCAUGUUCUUGUGUGUCACAGUUCAGCCAGUUUUGGUUUAUGCCUAGAGCUACUUCAAGGAACUAGACUAAUUAGCUAUAUAGGCCCAGCGAUGCUUCUUAUUGAUCUUAAUAGUAUGCCCCUCCUUCCCCUGUCCUUUCAUUUCUCUAUCCAAGUAGCAGUCAGGUUCUUGGUGUGAUGGGACUGAAAGAAUUCCAGUCAGCCAGAGCCUUGGCAGCUCUGAAGCUAACCUUAGCAUCUAAGUGUCGAUCUUGAAUUCCCUGAAAAAAUUUCUAUAGGAAAUGAAGCUUCCCUGGUCCCCUCCUUUCUGGCCAUUGUCAUCCAUUUCCCAGUUAGGGCAACAAUGAAGGAGGACCCAGCCAAGCUAGAAGGAAUUUUGUGGAUGGGAGACAGCAGGAUUAGCUUCAGCUUGGGCUGGAGCAGUCAAUAUAGGAUCUCAGGCCAGGCCCGCUUUUCUAGAAUGUGUUUAAUUUUGAGUUUGCUUUAUUAGAUAUGUUUUUUAAGAGCUCUGUAUAUUUGAACUGCUCCUUAUGUGACAAAAUAGGUAGCUCUUGGGCUCAUGUCCUGGGUUUUGGCUCUUUAAUGAUUACUCCAGGCCAGCAUUUAGUCGUUUGAGAAUUGUAGCCUGUUGUUUUCGCUGUGACUUGGGUCUCAGUGCUAGGGUAUUGAGUCAGGCAGCUGGAGGGUUGUGGCCCGAGGCUGCAGUCAGAGGUAUACUUCCCAUAGUGCUUCACACAGCUCCCCUGCUUCUAAAGGAUAAGGUACUGUAGCCUUGGUCCUGGGGACCACCUGCCUGGGGCAGUGGACAUCCUAACUAAACAGAAGUGUGGCCUGAGUUGAAUUUCUGGGAGGAUGACGCAGAUGUCUGCUGCAGAGCUGGGCUGAGAGUUCUGCAGUCUAGCUCUGACUUAGGUCAGGGGCCUGUUGGUCUCUCAUUGGACGUUUUUGGGUCUCACUCAUGCUUACUGAAACAUUGUGCCAAGAAACUCUGUGGGAUUUGUGUCCCUUAAACCAGACUCACUUUUCUGAAAAAUCUCCAUUGUUGAGGAGAGGCUGCUCAAUCGACACCCCGAGUUCUCAUGACUGGGAAGAUAGUUUUCUUCAGGUGUCAAUGGCGUUAGACUCCCAGGAAGACUAGCCCUGCCCACAGGGCCACCUGUUGGUUUGAGAGCGUGUUCGUGUUCUCUUGCCCUCCCUGCCUAAGAGCUACUGGGAUCACGUUAGCGGGCAUUUAGGCUUUGAUGAGAGGGCACAGUUUGAGUUAGGUUUACCUCCCCCUUUCUGUGCCUGGGAACUGUUUGGUCCAGCUUUAGAACUGUGGUUUUGACUUCCUUAUCUCUUGGGAGAAGCUUCUGUUUUAAGGAAUUUCUCUUCCUUCUUCUCCUGCCUCUAGCCUCUCCUGGAAAGGCCUGGAUAUGGUUUCUAAAAUCUCAGCUGAGAACUUCAGAAAACAGCAGCAGUAUUUUCCUUUUCCUAGUGCUAAAAUCCCUUUCCCUAGAAAUUGGCUCACCUUGGGAAACCCAGGGAAAGAAUCAGCAGGUUCUCUGCCCUCCCUAGGGGUUGGGGAAGGACCCACCCCGGUCAGCACAGUGCCUUUUCCUCUCCUGCUCUGAGCCAGGGUGGGGCAUUCCCUCUAGAUUCAGGUUUGGGCAGGGGUCCUAUAGUCCCUGCCAUGGGGCUGCUUCCCUGUCCCUUCCCUCCCCUUUGCUGGCCUACUCUGGCAUAAUUCAAGUGUCUUCUUGCCUUGGGGAUCCUUAGUGGCAUCAAAUGGCAACAUGGAAUAUUGUCCUCCAUGCCCCUCCAGAAGGACCUAGGAGAGUAGGUGAGCUUUCCAAAGUGAGAGACGAAUCUUUCUUUCUUUUUUUUUUUAAAGGGCAGGAUGGGUAUGCUUUGGGCUUUCUCCUUCUGUGGCCCCGGAGGAAGGAGAGACUGAGGCAAGGCAAAGUGAUAGUACACGGAAGCAGAACCGGAAACACCCAGGAACUGUUCAGAAAUCUCAGAAGAAAUCUGCUUCUCUUCGAUGGAAAGAUAUAAUUAACGAUCAAAGAGCUCUAAGAAAAUUGCAAAGAAGCCUUAAUGUUCAAGCUUUAGAAAGAUCAGAGCAAUUUUUCUCUUUCAGUCCAAACUAAGACUCUCUGUAUUUAAAUCUCUCUGGGGCAAGAGGGCUAGAUUUCCUCAUUUUGUUAUGAGACUAGAUUGGUACCAGUAGAUCAGCUGCCUAGCGAGGGCAGGUUUCUUCUUUGCAUCUGUGUGGCUUGCUUCCAGUCUGGCCUGUCCUUUCCAGCUGCCUUUUGUCUAGCCUGCUAUGGGGGGCCAGAUUAUCUUGAUAAGAGCAGGUGAUUUGGGGACUAGCUGGGUUGGCAGGAAAAGAGCAGGAUGGAUCUCUUGGGACAGGUUCCCCCAGGAGUAUAAACACAAGGAGCCAGGAUUGUGCUGGCAGCCAAGGAAACAGUAGUGCCUGUUUGAGUUGGCAGAGAGGGCCUUGGCACCUCUUGCAUCCAGGCAGUCUUGUGAGAUGGGGGCACAUAGCACUGGGGAAAGCAGAACUCCAUUCUCACCUCUAUUUUGAGCUUCAGUGCUUUAUUUCAGUAUGAGGAAAAACAACAACAAACUGAAGUGCGCUUUCCGUCCUUUCAAAGGACAACUGUCGGGAAGGGAGAGCCGAGUUGCGAGGUAGGAGGGGAGCACUGGCAGGGAGAGACAUUCUUGACUCCUCUCUUCCCUGGUGUGUUGUGAUCCAGGGAAUGAAAAGAAAUUUGACCCUGGAUUGGUUCUCUCCUUGGACUUAAGGAAUCUUACCUUUUCCUUCCACAAAGUUCUCCCAGGCAAGGACCAGCUGCCCAUUCUGAGCCCAGGGCAGCCUCUUCAACCAUUAUUGGUCUAACCUGGCUUGUCAGGAAACCAAGCCCACCCUUCCACAUUGGGCCUGGCUGCUCUAUUCUGUACCAAGUACUGGAGAAAAAGCAUCAAGUUCUUAGCCCUUGUAGCUUCUACCCUAGUUUCCCAUCCUCUCUCUGUGGAGGCCAAACCAACUCUUUGCCAGCAGCCACAACAUGCAUUGACAGCGGCACAGUGAGAUAUAACUGAUGGGCUUUGAACCUGGUUGGCCGGGGAAGCUGUAGGGGUGGAUAGAGCUGGCUUUCCUUCUGGGCUGUCUCCAUCUGACCCUACCCCUUCCAUGUCCCACCCCACUCCCACCAAAAAGUACAAAAUCAGGAUGUUUUUCACUGUCCAUUGCUUUGUGUUUUAAUAAACAAUUUGCAGUGACACUCUGUGUUGGGACUGAGUUCGAACUUGAUCUCAAAGCGCUGAAGUGAUGGGGUGGGAAAAAGGAGACCCAGGGGUUCACUUGGCUCCAAAGAGUUCUCCUGUGACGAGGCUGGGAACUGUUGUCCAUUUAGCUGUGUGUCUUUUGCUUUUCUUCUCUCUGGGAUGUUUGCUUAGGGGAAUCAUUCUGUAAAACCCUUCCUGGUCAUUUCAACUAGCAGCGCAUUUAAGGACAAAAAAUUUGUUUUCACUUUCACUGGAACAACUAGGCACAGACUGUCCCACUCUUAAGGCACACUGGGCCUAUUGCUGCCUCUCCUCACCAUUCCCUUAGCCUCUGUGAUAGCCCACGGACAAGCUAAGCUAACCUAAGCCAUAGGAGAUUUUUCUCUGCUUGCUCCUUUUCUGGUGUUUUGUCAUUGUUGAUUACACAUUAGGAAGAGCAGAAUGCAGGAGGGAUUUUUUUUCCUAUAAUUUAUAAGCCACGGUUCAAAUUCAGUCUGUUUGCCAUCAAAGCCCCAAGCUCUUUAAAGCUGUAAAGAUAAUUACAGCUGUCCAUUACUGAGUCCUUGAAAUGGGCUGGGCACAAUGCCCAGCAUUUUCCACAUGUUAUCUCUCUUUUAUCUUCAACAAACCAGUUGCUAUUCCCCUUUAAGAGAUGAAGUGACUUGCACAAGGUAGCACAACCAACAAAAGGCGGAGCUGGGGUUUUAAACCAGGACUCCUGCUCUCCAUCAUUACCCUCUGCUGCCAUCCAUUUCUUCAUGGUGCUGGGUGGCAUGGCUCCAGAGCCUACCUGCGGGAUUUCUCCGAGUGGGAAUGGAGACUGCUGGCUUGCAGGGGUAGGGAGGGGUGGAGGUGGAGGAACAGGAGUUUGGCCUACCUCCCUCAGUUAUCCCUUGAAGGGCAGAAUUCAGUGUGCAGCCCCAAGAGUGAGGCCAUUGUUGAUGGAGUCUGUUCUCAGGGCCCAAACAAGCCAGGAGGCCCACAGAGCCUCUUUCUUAGGCUGAGCCCACCCAUAACUGGAGUUCUUUCCUAAUUCAGAUUUCGUUGUUACUAUUUCAAGUAGCUUUGCAUGAGCUGCCAAAUGGGGAAGAGACCUGAAGAACUCCUGCUCUAGGGAGUUACAGGGAGGGAAAUUGUCUGACAGAAGAUCUUGGGCCAAGUACCGGGGUUGGGUUGGACCACUCUGUGGGUCCAGAUCUUAAUCUUACUAAGGAAAUCAGGCUCCCGGUUGGCUGGAGCCGGUGAGACCUUUCUCCAUACUUAGUACCCCCCAUCCCCCAUAAAGGAAGAGAGAUGAGUUUUUCUAGUACUUACUGGAAAGCUCAUUGCUAUCGCAGUGGUGAGGGGUCAAGGCAGAAAGGAGGCGGAGCAUGGAGGUCCUGGAGCGGGCUUGCCUCUGCUCUCCAACAACCUAAGGCCACAAGCACCUCGCUGCAGCACCCUGGCCCAAGAGUCUCAGUUUUGUUUGUUCCUAACCACUUAACAUUAGUACGAAAUAACUCCACUUGCUUUGUCACUGCACUCUCUCACCUGGAUCCAUGGCUUCUCCCUGCCCCAUGCGCCUGCCCUGUGUGCCUGCCCUCAACAGAGGGGGCGUGGAGAAAGAGGCCACUUGUGUAUAUUGUCAUAGUGACCAUUCAUGGGACACUCUUCCUGGCACCAGUACAGUGCUUUUUCUUGCCGUUUUGUGUCUCUUCAUAACAAUCCUAGGAAAGACCUGUGACUAGCCUGACUUAUAAAUGAAGGCACAAAGGCCUCAGGAGAGAAACGACCUGGCCAGAGUCACAUAGCUGGUAAUUGGCAGAGCAAAGACUGGAACCCAAUGCUGUUUGACCCCAAAAUCUGUGCUUUUAGUGCCAUGAUAUACUAGUUUUAAAGAGGAACCUUUGAGUAUUGAUAACUGAUGAAUCUAUGAUUACAUGGAGGUUUUAUUAUUUCUCUGAAAAAGUAACUUUUAAGACUUGGUGAUAUAAAGAUCUAUAAAUAUAUACAGAAAUAAAUUCUUAAAAAAGUGUUAGGAGUGCAAAAUGUGAAAAAUCAUUUUCUUUUCUUUUUCUUUUUUUUUUUCCUCUUUUUGAGGCCGGGUUUUGCUCUGUCACCCAGGCUGGUGUGCAGUGGCAAGAUCUUGGCUCACUGCAGCCUUGACCUCCCAGGCUCAAGCGAUCCUCCCACCUCAGCCUCCUGAGUAGCUGGGACUACUACAGUGUGCAGCCACCACACCCAGCUAAUUUUUAUACUUUUUGUAAAGACAGGAUUUUGCCAUGUUGCCCAGGCUGGUCUCAAACUCUUGGACUCAAGUGAUCCGCCCACCUCGGCCUCCCAAAGUGCUGGGAUCAGAGGUGUGAGCCACCAUACCUGGCCUGAAAAAUCAUUUUCUUCCCUAUCCCUCUAAUCCCUAAAGGAUAAUACAGAGGACAUUCUGGUGUGUAUCUUUCAUUUUAAAUGUAUUUACAUAUAUAUAUGUGUAUAUAUGUAUUUAUAUAUAUGUAAUAUAUAUGUAAAUGUAUUUACAUAUAUGUGUGUAAAUGUAUUUACAUAUAUAUGUAUUUACAUAUAUAUAUAUAUACACACACACACACACACAGAGUCUUUUUAAACAAGUGGGAAUAUACCAUACAUAUCAUUCUGUGCCAUUUUUACUUAAUAUGUCUUAGAGAGGUAGUUCAUAUAGAUGGGUCAGUACAUAGAGAUUUUCCUCACUCAAGGGCUGUACAGUAUCUUAUGGUUAGAUUGUAAUUGAUUUUACCAAUCCCCUGUAGAUGAACAUUAAGAUACUGCUCAUUUUUUGCCAGUACAAACUGCUGCAGUGAACAUGCUUAUGCAUAUAUCUUUGUGCGUAUGUGCAGGUGUUUCUUUAGGGAAUUCCUUUAAGGAAUUACUGGAUCAAACAAUAUAUGCAUUUAAAAAUUUGAAAGUACUGUCCUCCAUGAGGCUAUAUGAAUUUUUACUCACCAAUCUUGUGCUGUGACUUUGGAAUAUGCCAGAAAUCUCUUUUGGAAACAGGUAGGAUAUAAAUAAUAAAUAAUGCUUUUUAAAAACAGCCCUCUGGCUAAGCGCAGUAGCUCACACCUGUAAUCCCAGCACUUUGGAAGGCUGAGGCAAGUGGAUCACCUGAGGUCAGGAGUUCGAGAUCAGCCUGGCCAACAAAGUGAAACCUCGUCUCUACUAAGAAUAUAAAAUUAGCCAGGCGUGGUGGUGGGCACCUGUAAUCCCAGCUACUUGGGAGGCUGAGGCUGGAGAAUCACUUGAACAUGGGAGGCAGAGGUUGCAGUGAGCCAAGAUCAUGCCGUUGCACUCCACCCUGGCAACAGAGCAAGACUCCUUCUUAAAAACAAACAAACAAACAAACAAACAAACAGCCCUCAGCCAGAUAGUAGAGUGACUUGGUACUAAGGAAAUUACUAGCUCUUAGUCCCAGACCACAAGCCAUGCCUGCAAUCCCAGCCAUGAUUUGCUAAUUCAGUGCAUGCCAUCUGGGGAGGCAGCAGAAAGCAGGACUGAACUUUCAGUCUUGGCAGAAAAAUGCCAGCUGAUGAUGUCUUGCUUACCUUGGUUACACCAGCUCUGGGCCCCACCUGCCUGGCCUGAUUUGAAGGCAGACUGCCUGGCUACUCUGGGACUGCCCUGGAAAACAGCCACUCUCACACCUCUUACAGGGAGGAAAACAGCCAGCGGGAGAGAGUCAGCCCUGAGCUGGGGGGAAAGGAAGGCUGGCCCUCUGCUUUUGGUGUCAGGAUUACUAUUUAAUGCAGUAGUCCUCUAUUUUCCUUCUUCCCCCAAAUAAAGUGUUAGUAUAUGUAAUUUUCAAAAGACAUUUUAAAAGAGCCUUUCCCCACACCUCAAAAAAUUUGAUGUGGAAAGGCAGAUUGGCGGUUACACCCCUAAUUUUUCCUACCCCUUUAAAAAAUGAAAUUAUAUAUAUUUCCUUCCCUUUCCCUUUCCUUCAUUUCCUUCUUUCUUUUCUCGUUUCCUUCCUUUCCCCCCGUCCUUUCUUACAGUCUCACUCUCACCCCUCGAACUUCUGGCCUCAAGCAAUCCUCUGGCUUUGGCCUCCCAAAGUGUUGGUAUUACACGCAUGAGCCACUGUGCCCAGCCAGUCUAUUCCUUUUAACCAAAAUUCAUAGGUAGUGCCCAGAGAGAGUACAAGCUCUGACUCAUAUGGCAGUAUUUACUUAAAAAAAAAAAAAAAUGCCAGGCAUGGUGGCUCACGCCUGUAAUCCCAGCACUUUGGGAGGCUGAGGCAGGCGGAUCGCCUGAGGUCAGUUCAAGGCCAGCCUGACCAACAUGGUGAAACCCCAUCUCUACUAAAAAUACAAAAAUUAGCUAGGUAUGGUGGUGGGCACCUGUAAUCCCAGCUACUUGGGAGGCUGAGGCAGGAGAAUCGCUUGAACCUGGGAGGCGGAGGUUGCAGUGAGCCAAGAUUGUGCCACUGUACUCCAGCCUGGGCGACAGAAUGAGACUCUGUCUCAAAAAAAAGAAUAAUAAAAAUAAAAAAUAAAGUAAAAUAAAAAAACAGGCCAGGCACA
rnacentral:lncRNA from 1 species